rnacentral:rRNA from 1 species
GAUGAACGCUGGCGGCGUGCCUAAUACAUGCAAGUCGAGCGAACGGACGAGAAGCUUGCUUCUCUGAUGUUAGCGGCGGACGGGUGAGUAACACGUGGAUAACCUACCUAUAAGACUGGGAUAACUUCGGGAAACCGGAGCUAAUAUCGGAUAAUAUUUUGAACCGCAUGGUUCAAAAGUGAAAGACGGUCUUGCUGUCACUUAUAGAUGGAUCCGCGCUGCAUUAGCUAGUUGGUAAGGUAACGGCUUACCAAGGCAACGAUGCAUAGCCGACCUGAGAGGGUGAGCGGCCACACUGGAACUGAGACACGGUCCAGACUCCUACGGGAGGCAGCAGUAGGGAAUCUUCCGCAAUGGGCGAAAGCCUGACGGAGCAACGCCGCGUGAGUGAUGAAGGUCUUCGGAUCGUAAAACUCUGUUAUUAGGGAAGAACAUAUGUGUAAGUAACUGUGCACAUCUUGACGGUACCUAAUCAGAAAGCCACGGCUAACUACGUG